rnacentral:lncRNA from 1 species
UUCCUUUUCACCAUGACCAGCCUUGUUCAGAACAUCUGAGAGGCACAGACCUGAGAAAGAAUCCCCAGGCUGAAGAGGUAGAAGUUGGCAGAAGUUAAAAAGCAAUGUCUCCACAAUGGAGAAGUGACAUGCUAAAGGAACCUGGCAUCCAGACAUUUCCUAACCCCCAAUCCCUCCUUACAUAUGACCUGCUCUUAGAGGAGUACAGCGUGGUGGUUAGGAGUAUGGACUCGGCAGCCAGAAAUCCUGGGAUCUGUUGCUUGUUAGCUGUGGGCCUUAAGCUAAGAACUUAACCUCUCUGUGCCUCAGUUGCUCCAUCUGUUCAAAUGAAGAUAACGAUAAUGAAGAUGAUAUCACCUGCUGUGUAGGAUUGUUAUGAAAAAUCAAGAAUUAAUAUUUGUAAAUCACUUACAGGGUCUGGCACAUAAUAAGUGCUGUGUGGGUGUUUGUUAAAUAAAAUAAUAUACAAUGACAUAGG